CGGGCCAAGGGCAGUCUCAGGUACAGUUUCUAUGGGGCGUAGGCCUCCCAAAAGGUAACGGAGGCGUGCACAGGUUUCCUCGGGCCAGACGGACAUUGGUCCUCGAGUGCAAAGGCAGAAGGGAGCUUGACUGCAAGACUCACCCGUCGAGCAGAGACGAAAGUCGGCCUUAGUGAUCCGACGGUGCCGAGUGGAAGGGCCG
rnacentral:ncRNA from 1 species